rnacentral:rRNA from 1 species
CCUACGGGGGGCAGCAGUUGGGAAUAUUGGGCAAUGGGCGCAAGCCUGACCCAGCAACGCCGCGUGAAGGAAGAAGGCUUUCGGGUUGUAAACUUCUUUUCUGAGGGACGAAGAAAGUGACGGUACCUCAGGAAUAAGCCACGGCUAACUACGUGCCAGCAGCCGCGGUAAUACGUAGGUGGCAAGCGUCAUCCGGAUUUAUUGGGAGUAAAGGGCGUGGAGGCGGGAAAUCAAGUCAGAUGUGAAAACUCAGGGCUCAACCCUGAGCCUGCAUUUGAAACUAUUUUUCUUGAGUGCUGGAGAGGCAAUCGGAAUUCCGGGUGUAGCGGUGAAAUGCGUAGAUAUACGGAGGAACACCAGUGGCGAAGGCGGAUUGCUGGACAGUAACUGACGCUGAGGCGCGAAAGCGUGGGGAGCAAACAGGAUUAGAUACCCGGGUAGUC